AGCGAACGCUGGCGGCAGGCCUAACACAUGCAAGUCGAACGAAGUCUUCGGACUUAGUGGCGGACGGGUGAGUAACACGUGGGAACGUGCCUUUAGGUUCGGAAUAACUCAGGGAAACUUGUGCUAAUACCGAAUGUGCCCUUCGGGGGAAAGAUUUAUCGCCUUUAUAGCGGCCCGCGUCUGAUUAGCUAGUUGGUGAGGUAAAGGCUCACCAAGGCGACGAUCAGUAGCUGGUCUGAGAGGAUGAUCAGCCACAUUGGGACUGAGACACGGCCCAAACUCCUACGGGAGGCAGCAGUGGGGAAUCUUGCGCAAUGGGCGAAAGCCUGACGCAGCCAUGCCGCGUGAAUGGUGAAGGUCUUAGGAUUGUAAAAUUCUUUCACCGGGGACGAUAAUGACGGUACCCGGAGAAGAAGCCCCGGCUAACUUCGUGCCAGCAGCCGCAGUAAAAC
rnacentral:rRNA from 1 species